rnacentral:rRNA from 1 species
CCCUUAGAUGUUCUGGGCUGCACGCGUGCUACACUGAUAUCGCCAAUAUGUCAUUCUUAUCCGAAAUGGAUUGGGUAAUCAAGUAAUGAAAUUUCAUGCUUGGAAUCGGUAAUUGCAAUUUUAUCGUGAACGAGGAAUUCCUAGUAAGCACUAGUCAUCAGCUAAUGUUGAUUAUGUCCCUGCCCUUUGUACACACCGCCCGUCGCUACUACUGAUUGGGUGUUCAAGUGAGAUGCUUGGACCCUUGUUGCAUGGUUCAUUAUUGUGCUCCGAAAGGAAAAAGUUUCAAGCUUGAGUGUCUAGAGGAAGUAAAAGUCGUAACA